UUUAAUAUGGCAGAUUAGUGCAGGAGAUUUAAAUUCUUCAUAUAAAAUUUUAUAUUUUUAUUAAAA
rnacentral:tRNA from 1 species